rnacentral:rRNA from 1 species
CCUACGGGUGGGCAGCAGUGGGGAAUAUUGCACAAUGGACGAAAUUCUGAUGCAGCAACGCCGCGUGGAGGAUGACACAUUUCGGUGCGUAAACUCCUUUUAUAUGGGAAGAUAAUGACGGUACCAUAUGAAUAAGCACCGGCUAACUCCGUGCCAGCAGCCGCGGUAAUACGGAGGGUGCAAGCGUUACUCGGAAUCACUGGGCGUAAAGAGCGUGUAGGCGGUUAUAUAAGUCAGAAGUGAAAGCCAAUAGCUUAACUAUUGAACUGCGUUUGAAACUGUGUACCUAGAAUGUGGGAGAGGUAGAUGGAAUGUCUGGUGUAGGGGUAAAAUCCGUAGAGAUCAGAAGGAAUACCGAUUGCGAAGGCGAUCUACUGGAACAUUAUUGACGCUGAGACGCGAAAGCGUGGGGAGCAAACA